rnacentral:rRNA from 1 species
UUAAGCGACUAAGCGUACACGGUGGAUGCCCUGGCAGUCAGAGGCGAUGAAGGACGUGCUAAUCUGCGAUAAGCGUCGGUAAGGUGAUAUGAACCGUUAUAACCGGCGAUUUCCGAAUGGGGAAACCCAGUGUGUUUCGACACACUAUCAUUAACUGAAUCCAUAGGUUAAUGAGGCGAACCGGGGGAACUGAAACAUCUAAGUACCCCGAGGAAAAGAAAUCAACCGAGAUUCCCCCAGUAGCGGCGAGCGAACGGGGAGCAGCCCAGAGCCUGAAUCAGUGUGUGUGUUAGUGGAAGCGUCUGGAAAGGCGCGCGAUACAGGGUGACAGCCCCGUACACAAAAAUGCACAUGCUGUGAGCUCGAUGAGUAGGGCGGGACACGUGGUAUCCUGUCUGAAUAUGGGGGGACCAUCCUCCAAGGCUAAAUACUCCUGACUGACCGAUAGUGAACCAGUACCGUGAGGGAAAGGCGAAAAGAACCCCGGCGAGGGGAGUGAAAAAGAACCUGAAACCGUGUACGUACAAGCAGUGGGAGCCUCUUUUAUGGGGUGACUGCGUACCUUUUGUAUAAUGGGUCAGCGACUUAUAUUCUGUAGCAAGGUUAACCGAAUAGGGGAGCCGAAGGGAAACCGAGUCUUAACUGGGCGUUAAGUUGCAGGGUAUAGACCCGAAACCCGGUGAUCUAGCCAUGGGCAGGUUGAAGGUUGGGUAACACUAACUGGAGGACCGAACCGACUAAUGUUGAAAAAUUAGCGGAUGACUUGUGGCUGGGGGUGAAAGGCCAAUCAAACCGGGAGAUAGCUGGUUCUCCCCGAAAGCUAUUUAGGUAGCGCCUCGUGAAUUCAUCUCCGGGGGUAGAGCACUGUUUCGGCAAGGGGGUCAUCCCGACUUACCAACCCGAUGCAAACUGCGAAUACCGGAGAAUGUUAUCACGGGAGACACACGGCGGGUGCUAACGUCCGUCGUGAAGAGGGAAACAACCCAGACCGCCAGCUAAGGUCCCAAAGUCAUGGUUAAGUGGGAAACGAUGUGGGAAGGCCCAGACAGCCAGGAUGUUGGCUUAGAAGCAGCCAUCAUUUAAAGAAAGCGUAAUAGCUCACUGGUCGAGUCGGCCUGCGCGGAAGAUGUAACGGGGCUAAACCAUGCACCGAAGCUGCGGCAGCGACGCUUAUGCGUUGUUGGGUAGGGGAGCGUUCUGUAAGCCUGUGAAGGUGUGCUGUGAGGCAUGCUGGAGGUAUCAGAAGUGCGAAUGCUGACAUAAGUAACGAUAAAGCGGGUGAAAAGCCCGCUCGCCGGAAGACCAAGGGUUCCUGUCCAACGUUAAUCGGGGCAGGGUGAGUCGACCCCUAAGGCGAGGCCGAAAGGCGUAGUCGAUGGGAAACAGGUUAAUAUUCCUGUACUUGGUGUUACUGCGAAGGGGGGACGGAGAAGGCUAUGUUGGCCGGGCGACGGUUGUCCCGGUUUAAGCGUGUAGGCUGGUUUUCCAGGCAAAUCCGGAAAAUCAAGGCUGAGGCGUGAUGACGAGGCACUACGGUGCUGAAGCAACAAAUGCCCUGCUUCCAGGAAAAGCCUCUAAGCAUCAGGUAACAUCAAAUCGUACCCCAAACCGACACAGGUGGUCAGGUAGAGAAUACCAAGGCGCUUGAGAGAACUCGGGUGAAGGAACUAGGCAAAAUGGUGCCGUAACUUCGGGAGAAGGCACGCUGAUAUGUAGGUGAAGCGACUUGCUCGUGGAGCUGAAAUCAGUCGAAGAUACCAGCUGGCUGCAACUGUUUAUUAAAAACACAGCACUGUGCAAACACGAAAGUGGACGUAUACGGUGUGACGCCUGCCCGGUGCCGGAAGGUUAAUUGAUGGGGUCAGCGCAAGCGAAGCUCUUGAUCGAAGCCCCGGUAAACGGCGGCCGUAACUAUAACGGUCCUAAGGUAGCGAAAUUCCUUGUCGGGUAAGUUCCGACCUGCACGAAUGGCGUAAUGAUGGCCAGGCUGUCUCCACCCGAGACUCAGUGAAAUUGAACUCGCUGUGAAGAUGCAGUGUACCCGCGGCAAGACGGAAAGACCCCGUGAACCUUUACUAUAGCUUGACACUGAACAUUGAGCCUUGAUGUGUAGGAUAGGUGGGAGGCUUUGAAGUGUGGACGCCAGUCUGCAUGGAGCCGACCUUGAAAUACCACCCUUUAAUGUUUGAUGUUCUAACGUUGACCCGUAAUCCGGGUUGCGGACAGUGUCUGGUGGGUAGUUUGACUGGGGCGGUCUCCUCCUAAAGAGUAACGGAGGAGCACGAAGGUUGGCUAAUCCUGGUCGGACAUCAGGAGGUUAGUGCAAUGGCAUAAGCCAGCUUGACUGCGAGCGUGACGGCGCGAGCAGGUGCGAAAGCAGGUCAUAGUGAUCCGGUGGUUCUGAAUGGAAGGGCCAUCGCUCAACGGAUAAAAGGUACUCCGGGGAUAACAGGCUGAUACCGCCCAAGAGUUCAUAUCGACGGCGGUGUUUGGCACCUCGAUGUCGGCUCAUCACAUCCUGGGGCUGAAGUAGGUCCCAAGGGUAUGGCUGUUCGCCAUUUAAAGUGGUACGCGAGCUGGGUUUAGAACGUCGUGAGACAGUUCGGUCCCUAUCUGCCGUGGGCGCUGGAGAACUGAGGGGGGCUGCUCCUAGUACGAGAGGACCGGAGUGGACGCAUCACUGGCGUUCGGGUUGUCAUGCCAAUGGCACUGCCCGGUAGCUAAAUGCGGAAGAGAUAAGUGCUGAAAGCAUCUAAGCACGAAACUUGCCCCGAGAUGAGUUCUCCCUGACUCCUUGAGAGUCCUGAAGGAACGUUGAAGACGACGACGUUGAUAGGCCGGGUGUGUAAGCGCAGCGAUGCGUUGAGCUAACCGGUACUAAUGAACCGUGAGGCUUAACCUU